UGGUUUUUUUUUUUUAAUAUUGAUAUACACUGUAUGUCAAAAGAUGUCCCUGCAGAAGGAAAUUAUUGAAGAUCAUCAUAUUAUUUUUAUAAACUAGUUAACUUAUUAAUUAAUUAACCAAUCAAUUCAGAGCGGGUCUUCACAGUACUUGGCUCUAACAACCGUAAAUUGAGAUCGGGUUCCUGAUAAAAAGCAUCGGGUGUGCACUCCGAGUUCCCGCGCAUAGUCAGCAUGCAGACCAUGCAGACGCCAUUUUUAUGAUGUUGUGACCUACCGUAAACAUUAUGAACAGACAUUUAAGAAUAGCCUUCAACAGGGACCCGAGGGAGUUCGUGGUGUUAUCCUGAAGAGACUCCCAACCAUUAAAAUAUAAUUCAUGAUGGAUACAGAAUUUAUAUGGUGUGACCACUGACCAGACUGGUUUUAAUAUGCCAUUCUGAGAAUUACACUAUGCAGACCUGGAUCAAUGUUUAUAUAGUUCCAAAAUGAGUUUACUCUGAAUGACACUUCAGUUCAUGCACAUUUUAGAAUGUACGUCAUCAAUGUUCUCCCAAAGGAAAGUGAGCAAAAACUUAUCCAGAGAAUCAACAGCACAUUUUUGUGAAACUUUUUAAAAUGCGCAGGAGAAAUAGGAUUACGAAGAAGAGAAGCUUUGUCAUAAUUUUUAUAGUAUGAAUUAAAUGCAAUUUCUCAUA